rnacentral:rRNA from 1 species
AGGACGAACGCUGGCGGCGUGCUUAACACAUGCAAGUCGAGCGGAAAGGCCCUUCGGGGUACUCGAGCGGCGAACGGGUGAGUAACACGUGAGUAAUCUGCCCCUAGCUCUGGGAUAGCUCCGGGAAACCGGGAUUAAUACCAGAUACGACCACUUUAGACAUCUGCUGUGGUGGAAAGAAUUUCGGCUAGGGAUGAGCUCGCGGCCUAUCAGCGUUGUUGGUGGGGUAACUGGCCUACCAAGGCGACG